UACGAAGGGGGCUAGCGUUGUUCGGAAUUACUGGGCGUAAAGGGCGCGCAGGCGGCUCCUUAAGUCAGGCGUGAAAGCCCCGGGCUCAACCUGGGAACUGCGCUUGAGACUGGGGGACUGGAGUUCGGGAGAGGAGAGCGGAAUUCCCAGUGUAGAGGUGAAAUUCGUAGAUAUUGGGAAGAACACCGGUGGCGAAGGCGGCUCUCUGGACCGACACUGACGCUGAGGCGCGAAAGCGUGGGGAGCAAACAGG
rnacentral:rRNA from 1 species